UCAAUGGAGGCAACUCUGAACCAGCCAUGCCGCGUGCAGGAUGACGGUCCUAUGGAUGUAAACUGCUUUGUACGGGAAGAAAUAUAGUUACGUGUAAUUAUUUGACGGUACCGUAAGAAUAAGGAUCGGCUAACUCCGUGCCAGCAGCCGCGGUAAUACGGAGGAUCCGAGCGUUAUCCGGAAUUAUUGGGUUUAAAGGGUUCGUAGGCGGUUUAGUAAGUCAGUGGUGAAAUCUUGCAGCUUAACUGUAAAAUUGCCGUUGAUACUGCUAGACUUGAAUAGUAUGGAAGUAAUUAGAAUAUGUAGUGUAGCGGUGAAAUGCUUAGAUAUUACAUGGAAUACCAAUUGCGAAGGCAGAUUACUACGUACUUAUUGACGCUGAUGAACGAAAGCGUGGGUAGCGAACAGGAUUAGAUACCCUGGUAGUCCACGCCGUAAACGAUGGAUACUAGCUGUUCGGUUUUCGGACUGAGUGGCUAAGCGAAAGUGAUAAGUAUCCCACCUGGGGAGUACGUUCGCAAGAAUGAAACUCAAAGGAAUUGACGGGGGCCCGCACAAGCGGUGGAGCAUGUGGUUUAAUUCGAUGAUACGCGAGGAACCUUACCAGGGCUUAAAUGUAGAUUGACAGGUUUAGAGAUAGACUUUCCUUCGGGCAAUUUACAAGGUGCUGCAUGGUUGUCGUCAGCUCGUGCCGUGAGGUGUCAGGUUAAGUCCUAUAACGAGCGCAACCCCUAUUGUUAGUUGCCAGCGGGUCAAGCCGGGAACUCUAACAAGACUGCCGGUGCAAACCGUGAGGAAGGUGGGGAUGACGUCAAAUCAUCACGGCCCUUACGUCCUGGGCUACACACGUGCUACAAUGGCCAGUACAGAAAGCAGCUACCAGGCAACUGGAUGCGAAUCUCAAAAGCUGGUCUCAGUUCGGAUUGGAGUCUGCAACUCGACUCCAUGAAGCUGGAAUCGCUAGUAAUCGGAUAUCAGCCAUGAUCCGGUGAAUACGUUCCCGGGCCUUGUACACACCGCCCGUCAAGCCAUGGAAGCUGGGGGUACCUGAAGUCGGUCGCCGCAAGGAGCUGCC
rnacentral:rRNA from 1 species